AUACGAAGGGGGCAAGCGUUGUUCGGAAUAACUGGGCGUAAAGCGCACGUAGGCGGAAUGUUAAGUUAGAGGUGAAAUCCCAGGGCUCAACCCUGGAACGGCCUUUAAUACUGGCAAUCUAGAGACCGAGAGAGGUGAGUGGAAUUCCGAGUGUAGAGGUGAAAUUCGUAGAUAUUCGGAGGAACACCAGUGGCGAAGGCGGCUCACUGGCUCGGUACUGACGCUGAGGUGCGAAAGCGUGCGGAGCAAACAGGAUUAGAAACCCCAGUAGUCC
rnacentral:rRNA from 1 species